GGCAAAUAGAGUGUCGGCAUAGAGACAAAAUUCAUAUAUUGUCAUUUUCCAAGUUUCUAGGAAUUCCGCCCAGCCACCAUUGAUGAAUAUGUAGCAAAAAGGUAGGUGUGGACCAUGCUCGCAAAAUAUCUCAAUAGUAAAAAGAUUGACAUCAUUGCUGGAGUCACCACGACGACCAAGACUUUCUUUUUUUUCUUUUGUCAUUUUUUUUUUU
rnacentral:misc_RNA from 1 species